GGCCGGUUAGCUCAGUGGUUUGAGCGCAGUGCUGACACCAAUGACAACACCGAGAUCGCGGGUUCGAUUCCCGCUCAGUCCC
rnacentral:tRNA from 1 species